ensembl:lncRNA
GCUUCAGAGCUCUGUGAGCUCUGCUCUGGGACUUUGGAUGGAAUGUCCCUGUUUCAUCCCUUGGAUGAACAUGGGUUCUGACAGCUGCUCAGCAGCAGAUGCUCUCCUCACUAUUCCCUUCUUUUUCCCCACUCCCAGCCUGUUUUAGUUUCUCAGUGCCUUGUCUUAGGUGGCCACUGAGCACCCAGAAGCUUCCAGGUGUGGCUGUAAAGUAGGGUGAAGGCACUCCUGACAUCAUGGCGUGGGUGUAAGGAGGAGAGCAAAGCAGAAUUUGGGGAAUCCUUUCCACUAUUAGAGGGAAUUUCUCCAAGCUGUAGUGCUGAUGGCUGCAGCAGAGAGCCCGGAGCUGAGCAGAAAAUGCGGACGGGUCAUUGCAUCAACAGCUGGAAAAAGGCAGUGGCUGUGAACAUGAUGGAUCUUGCAGGUGAGAACGUUCCGAGAGCAGCUGAGGCCCUGCAGUCACCAUCCGCUCGCCGCUGGCUCAGUCUGCUCACUGCUUUGCAGCCAGGACACCGGCAGUGCUUCUUCUCCACUUUUCCUAUUCCUGGAGCCUCCUUGUCAGCCCCGUGCGCCCUCACGCUGGCUGCCCACAGUGCUGGCACUUGCAGGCUGUUAUUGCAAAAGCUCAGCUCUGCAGAGCCAGGCUGGCAGUCCCAAGAAGACGUCUGGUCCUGAGCGGGGUCACCCAUCCCUGCAUGGCUCUGCGGGGUCCGGCGGCAUCAUCCCAUCAUCCGCUUCAUAACCGUUGCUAAUUGGAAAAUGAAACCAUAAGAAGAAAAUCUGCUUCAAGUUAUUGCAUGGGCUUUUGUCCCCCACCGAGGAGGCACAAAUCAAGGAAUCAGAAUGUUUAACAAAACAAACAGAGAUUUCUUUGGUAUUGUGGGAGAUUUAUAGGCUGCGGCAUCCAGAGAAGCCUCCUCCCGCUCCGUCCUUCUGCUUGAAUUCCUGCUGGUCACUGACUUAUUACUUUUCUUACUGCUUCCCCUGCUUUAAAAGUGGGGAAAGCACAAUCAAAUUAUCAUAAUACUCAUUUGGUUAAUUGCCCAUUUAGUUACUUAUUGAGUUCAUUAAAAAGACAGUGUCAGUUAGGAGGAAAUGCAGAGAGGUGGGCAGUGAGGGGACAGGAUGUGGGCUGAAAUAGGCCAUUACUCCGGCCCCGAGAAUGGCAGUUUGUGUCCCUUCUUUAUUGCUGCAUCACUUCUGUGCAUGAUUUGUUCUGGAUAAAAAAAAAAAAACCCAAACCAACCCAACAAGCACAAAGCAAAAGGAGAAAGCCUGCUGCCGCAGAUCUCCAUUGCGCGUUAGAAUCCAUUUAGCAUCAAUCCAAAGCUCUGCAGAAGCCCAAACCACCUAUUUUAGGAUCCUUUUUUCAGCUGAGAAAAAUGUGCUGCUCCACAGGUCAGGAGCUGCCUGCAAUUAUGACCCCGAAUAGAUAGAAACGUUGCUUCUUGAGACAAAUUCCAUCUGACAGUUUUUACAGUACGUUCGUUCAGAGCAAAAUGCCCUGUCCCCUGUCACCCG